CAAGAGAGUUGAAAAACUCGCCAACCCUUUGUGAACCUACCUGAAUAGUUGCUUCGGCGGACAGCCCCAGGGCGGGGCCGCCGCCUCCCUCGCGGGAGGUGUCCGCCAGAGGCCCAUCUACUCUCUGUCUUACUAGCACUCUGAGUCACUAUAAAAAUGAAUCA
rnacentral:misc_RNA from 1 species